GUUCAAGUCGCUGAUCCAUGAAUUAAUAGAGGUGUCCUUUAGCCGGUAAGGGUGAAAUGGUGCGGUAAGAGCACACCGCGCUGCCGGUAACGGUAGUGGCAGGGUAAACCCCGGCUGGAGCAAGACCAAAUAGGGAAGCACAUGCUGCGGCCCGCAGAAGCUUCCGGGUAGGUUGCUUGAGGCGUCCGGUGACGGACGACCCAGAUGAAUGACUAUCUCGGCAGUGCAAACUGUUGACAGAACCCGGCUUACAGACCGUCUUCCCUU
rnacentral:RNase_P_RNA from 1 species